GCGGGAUUAGUUAAUCGGUAUAACUUCACUUUUCCAAAGUGCGAUGAUGGGUUCGACUCCCAUAUCCCGCUCCA
rnacentral:tRNA from 1 species